UACGUAGGGUGCAAGCGUUGUCCGGAAUUAUUGGGCGUAAAGAGCUCGUAGGCGGUUUGUCGCGUCUGCUGUGAAAACUCGGGGCUUAACCCCGGGCCUGCAGUGGGUACGGGCAGACUAGAGUGCGGUAGGGGAGACUGGAAUUCCUGGUGUAGCGGUGAAAUGCGCAGAUAUCAGGAGGAACACCGGUGGCGAAGGCGGGUCUCUGGGCCAUUACUGACGCUGAGGAGCGAAAGCGUGGGGGAGCGAACAGG
rnacentral:rRNA from 1 species